rnacentral:lncRNA from 1 species
AUGCAAACCGGAAACACUUAUGCAGCUAAAUCAUGGAAAUUUGUCUACUCAUCUCCAAGGGGAAGUUUGGGCUAAGCAAGUUAAUUUUGCCUUUAGGCAUUUGCAUAGUAAUUGUAUUGGGUCUGAAUGUGCAUCUGUAUGGAAAUUAUUCUUUCCAUCAUAUUCCUUGGACAGGGAUUAAUAUAGUUCCUGGAGAAUCAUUAUAUAAUAAAUUAUUGAUGUUGAGUGCUUAAUUACUUCUGUGGUUUGGUCCUUUAUAACUUGAAAGUUGCAAGUCUAGCCUGCUAUGUGUGACAACUGCAUUUAUUGUUGUUACCAGGUGAUAAUCGCUUGAAUUUUGUGUGCAGGCUUGGUUUAGGGGCACUAAUGAAUGCCCUCAUAUAGUAUAUUAUUAGAGAAUUAAAUAGGGUUUAUAUGACAGAGGUAUGUGAUGGUGUUGAAAACAACAUUUUUACUGUGACUAUUAUGAUGCUCAUGAAAAAGGUGACUCUGUGAGUCCUCUAAUGGGAUUUUUCCAGGAACCUCAAAUGUCCUCAGAUUAUUGAGGCCGUUGCAUGUCAUGAUCUGCCAUGGAGGCCACAAUGUUAUGCAUUUUCCACUGUGUUCAAGGUUAUUUCUCAAACCACCACUUUGAAUGGUACAACUAUCAGAGUUUCUAGAAAUUACCUUGGAAUGAGGGAUGAGGGUAUGUUCACCAACACAGUUUACCAGAAUUAGUGAAAGAAGAGUAAUUGAGGUAUUGUGUAACAACAACAUCAAAAGUUACUAGGUAACAACUGCCCUGAAAUUGAUGAAUGUCAAUAUGAGAAUGAAUAUAUGCUCAUCUUAUGCCACUUUCGGUAACAAUUUUUAGUUCAGAAGUUGUUUGUUAACUAAUGUUUUAUCUUCCUGAUGCAGUUAAUUCUUUGUGACUAGAAAAUACUUAUUUGUGCAGAUCUUCUUUGUUGUUCUUCUUUGUUAUUAGAAAAAUGGUAGAAAUCAUUCUACCACACUCAAGAUUGGAAUGAGGCAAUAGCAGAAAUAUUACCAGGGUGAGUUCUGUUUUCUGGUACUUUUUUGAAUCCUUCUUGGUCAUAACAUUCAUAACAUUUUUUCUAUUUUUUAUAGAUUUUAUUAAUAAAUGAUUUUUAUUUUUUCCAUUAUAGCUGAUUUACACUGUUCUGUCAAUUUUCUACUGUACAGCAAAGUGACCCAGUCACACAUAGAUAUAUACAUUCUUUUCCUCACAUUAUUGUCCAUCAUGCACCAUCAUAAGUGACUAGAUAGAGUUCCCAGUACUAUACAGCAGGAUCUCGUUGCUUAUCCAUUCCUAAGGCAAUAGUUUGCAUCUCUUACUUGGCUACAGUUACAUAUUGACACUACCCAGUAUCAAUUGGAAGAGACCCUACAGCUACUUUCCUGGCAUUAUCUAAGGGCUAGGACGUGAUCCUCUUACACAUGGCUUAGAAUAUCAGUUUUGGAUACAUGACCAUGUGCUCGCUGACACUCUGUGCAUCUGCUUUUAAGUGUACCCAGCUCAGAGCUUUGUGAACUCUCCUUGCAGAUGAUUCUGCCUGCUCAAGAUUCAUUGGAAACAUUCUUCUUCUCAAACAUUUAUCAAAACACAGGUGAAUGCACUGUCAGCAUAAAUCACUGUUUAAAAUUCUCUGUCCAAAAGAGGCGACCGUUUUAACCUGUGCAGAGUCUCUGUUUGAUGCCUGGAAUGUAGGUCAUCCAUAUUUGGUGACCACUGUCUUUAUUAUUGAUCUUUUAGUGUUUGUUCUUAAUGUUAAGUUUUCUUUUCUUUUUUUUUUUCUUUUCUUUUUGUCUUUUUCUUAGGGCUGCACCGUGGCAUAUGAAUGUUCUCAGGCUAGGGGUUGAAUCAGAGCUGCAGCUGCCGGUCCACACCACAGUCACAGCAAUGCCAGAUCCAAGCCACCUCUGUGAACUACACCGCAGCCCACAGCAAUGCCACGUCCUUAAUGGACUGAGCAGGGCCAGGGAUUAAACCCUCAUCCUCGUGGGUUCAUUACUGCUGAGCCACAACAGGAACUCCAUGAAUAUAAGGUUUUCUAAAUGUCCAUCACUGUUGCCUUCACCCACCCACCAGCCCAUAUAUUUUACUUGGUUUGAGCACCUGGGGAAAGCUAUUAAGACUUUUGUCUAAAACACCCCAUUUAAGAUUUUAACUUUCAUGCAGCUUAAUUUCAAAAAACAAACAACCUAAUCAAAAAAAUGAGCAGAAGAUUUAAAUAGACAAUUCUCCAAAGAAGAUGUACAGAUGGCCAAAAGGCACAUGAAAAAAUGAUCAACAUCACUACUUAUUAGAGAAAUGCAAAUCAAAACUACAAUGAGGUAUCAACUCAUACUGGUCACCAUAGUCAUCAUCAAAAAUGUCUACAAACAAUAAAUACUAGAGGAAGUGUGGAGAAAAGGGAACCUUCCUACACUGUUGGUGGGAAUGUAAAUUGGUACAACCACUAUGAAGAAUAAUAUGGAGGUUCUCUAAAAAACUAAAAAUAGAGUUAUCAUAUGAUCCAGCAAUCCCACUCCUGGGCAUAUAUCCAGAGAAAGCCAUAAUUUGAAAAGAUAUAUGCACCCCAAUGUUCACUGCAGCACUGUUUGCAAUAACCAGGAUGUGGAAGUAAUCUAAACAUCCAUCAGCAGAGGAAUGAAUAAGGAAGAUCAUGUGUGUGUGUGUGUGUGUGUAUACAUGCAAACUUUUAAUGCUUUUAAUUGUGUAAUGAGUAUAUACUAAAAUAUUUAUAGUAUGUAUAAAAGAUUCAAAGAAUAAUAAUAAAAUGAGUGUACCUUUGAGGCCCUGUGUACUCGGAUCCUGACCCUUCCUUUUCUUCCCCACCCAAGUAACCACACUAGUUAGGAAUUUUGUGUGUAUUUUUUCCAUCCGUCUCGUUAUAUUCGUACUACAUACCAAACAGCUCUAAAAAUAUGCUGUUUAAUUUUACAUGUUUUAGGAUCCUUUAAAAAAGAAUCACACUGAAUAUAAACAGAAUCAUAUUGUAUACAUUCUUGUGAAACUUGAUUUUUCAUUCAAUAGCGCUAUUUGAAAUUUACUUAUGUUGAUGUAAUUAGCUACAAUUGUUUAUGUUUCACUGCUCUAUAUUUGUCUCAGUUUUUCCAGGUAUGAUUUUUUUCCUUUUCCCUGUUGAGCUAGUUUGAAAUCAUAUACUGUUUUCUUUUUUUUCUAAUCGCUUGCUUACCCCAGAAAUUUUAAUAGUAUACUUAAUUCUUAUUUAAUCAAAAUCUUUGCUUGUCUUAAAUAAUAAGCAUAUGUUAAAUAUUUAGCUUCAGGUAUUAUCCAGUAUUUGCUUUUAUCUUCUUUAACCACACAAGGUACAAAUUUUAAUAUAAUCAAUGCCUAUUUAAAUUCAUUCCCAUAUUUUCCAGUUUCUUAAUUUACCUCUUUGUGCAGCUCUGACUUUGCAUAUAGAAUUAUUUUCCUUCUGUCUGCAGCAUUCUGUAGGAAUUCCUCUAGUGAGGAUCUGUUGUUAAACAUUUUCCCUUUUUUUUUUUUUUAAAUGAAAAUGAUUGUCUUUUAUCCUUGAUGGUGAAAGUUAGAUUCACAGGGGGUUUGGUUCCAGGUGGACACUGGUUCCUUCCUGGCACAUUGACAAGAAUCUCCCAUAAUUUGGUGCCCACGGUAGCUGUUGACAAGUCACCUGUCAAUCCAGUUGUUCUGCCUGCACUUAUCUUUUCUUCUGGUUGCUUCUACUAUUUUCAUGUUGUCUUUUGCAUUCUGCAGUUUCACUGUAAUUCUUCAAGUGUGGAUUUCCUUGUAGAUAGCCCUCUCAGGAGUUGUUCAACUUCCUAAAUCUGCUAUUUUCUCAAACUCUUUUAGUUUAAAAUACUCAAUAUGCCAAGGUGCCAUAUUUUAGGGUGAUGCAUCCUGAACCCCAUCACUAGUUAGAACAUAUCAUGUGCUACUUCCAUACUGGUUUUAAUAUAGUACUUAAUUCAUGUCUUCCAUGCUAUAUUUAAUAUCACUAUUUCCCAAAUUGUUCCAUUGCGUAUUACUAGGUGUUAUAGCAAGAGGUUCUUAGCUUAAUAAGUCUAGAGAACCUUAGAUUCAAUAAAUAGAAUGCAGUGUCUUAACUAAAGGGCUUUCUUGACCCUUCACUAUGUAAAUGAACAUUGUAAGUGUUCUGGAGGGAGGCUGGGCUUGAAUCUACAGUCCUUGCCCUUAUCCUUGAAGAAUCUAUUCCAAGACCUCCAGUAGAUGCCUGAAACCUUUCUUGUCACUGCUGUGGCAUGGGUUCGAUCCCUGGCCUGAGGAACUUCUGCAGGCCACCGAUGUGGCCUGAAAAAAAUCUUAACUUUAUAAAUUUAAAGCCUGUUUCAUCUUAACACUGUGGCCAUAGCUUUUGCAGUUUGACAACAAAAUUAGCACACAUUUCUUUUUCCUUCUUUACAAUUUCACAGAUAGAAGAUCCAUUCCCACCAUAGAUCCUAGCAAUCUUAGCAUGCAUUUUUUUCUUUCCUAAGCCAACAAUUUUUACCUUUGCACUUAAAGAAGACCCUUUAAAACUUCUUCUUCUAUCCAAAUGGCCAGCAUCACUACUCUUGUGCUUUGGAGCCAUUAUUAAGUAAAAUAAGGAUUAGUUGGGCACUGUCACUGCAGCACUAUGAUAGGUGAUUUGAUAACCUUGCAGGCUACUGUGUGAUUAACAGGCUGGACACACUGGCCAAAGGGGCAAUUCACCUCCUGGCCAGGAUGGAGCAAGACAGCAAGAUGGCUGAGAUUUCAUUACACUACACAAAACGGAGGGCAAUUUAAAAUUUAAAACUUAUGAACUGUUUAUUUCUGGAAUGUUCUGUGUAAUAGUUUCAUACCAAGGCUGACGAGGGGUAACUGAAACCAAAGAGAGAAAUUGUGCGUAGAGGGGGACUGCUAUUAAACCCUCCCUUCCCCAAUGAUCUGGUUCUGAGAUUCAUGUUCAAUAGAAUAUACUCAGGGAAGCACUGCUUCACAGAUAUUAAUUUCCCACAGUUCCUGUUGUGGCUCAGCAGGGUAAGGACCCAGUAUUGUCUCUGUGAGGAUGCAGGUUCAAGCCCUGGCCUCACUCAAUGGGUUAAGGAUCUGAUGUUGCCACAAGCUGUGGCAUAGGUCGUCGAUGUGGCUCAAAUCCAGUGUUGCUGUUGCUGUGGCAUAGGCCACAGCUGCAGCUCCAGUUUGACCCCUGGCCUGGGAACUUCCAUAUGUAACAGGCGUGGCCAAAAAAAAGAAGAAAUAAUAAUAAUAAAGACAUUAAUUUCCCUAAAAGGAAGGGUGUUGCCAUAGAGAGCUGAGUGUGACAAGAGAACAGGGAUAAUGUCCCGAUGGAGAAGCAGCAACUGAUAAGUUGCCUGUUACAAGGUCAGAACUAAUAUUGGAAGGAGUCUGACAUUUUACCAAA